UCAAGAUUUUCUUCUUAUAUUUUCAACAACAGGGUUUCCUUGCUGUGUUGUGUAUUAUAAUAGUUUUAUGAUUAAAACCAGCUUAUGCUGUUCUGCCAGCAUGUGGUUGUCCUAAUUAAAAUUCUGGCAAAAUAAAUUAUCCCAAAUUAAUAUGAAUCAUUCCUAAUUACAAUGAAUAAUUUACCAGUAAAGUAUAUAUUAUGCUACAUAAGUAUAAGAGGUCUGUUUUCUCCCAAGUUAGUCUUUGUAAAUGCACAUUUCAAAUCCACACAAACCAGCUGGGAGGAGCAUGAGAAGUGAAAGACCGUAACUGAGCUCCUGGUUCAUAAGUAUGCAUUUUCCUCCCUAAGUUCUGCCUAAGCCUUGGCUUUAUCAUCCAAGUUCUCAAGAACAAUGGCUUAUGGGUCUGCAGCUAGAACAUAUAAGUCUUAUUUUCCGUGCAUCCUAAAGUAAUUACUAUCAUUAUCACCUCAGCGCCUACAGUGAGCUGAUGGCUUCAGCAUGUGUUCAGGCCAGCGUGAGGCAUGGAACUGGCCUCCUGGGCCUGACAUGAGCUGUGUGACCUUAGGCAACCUCUUAGAGCUACUUCCAUAUCUGUGAAUUAAUGGGAUUAGAUGAAUACAUCUCCAUAGUCCUUUCCAGACUCCAAAUACUCGAGGGAUCCAAAAACCAAAAAAAAUCCUAGGGAAAAAAACUGAGCACACUGGGUUCUUUAAACACCACCUCCUCUGCUGUGCAUCUACAAACACAGCUCUUUAUGGCCGUGAAGGUCAGAAUACCUUAAUAUUUAAUGGGAUAGCAGGCGCAAAUAUAAACUCGCCUCAAAUCUCUUAAAUCCUUUCUUCCUUAACUUCAUGAUCUCCGUUUUUCUUUCUUCAAGCUAGUUUGUAGGAAGUGGGCUGCGUGGGGGGGAGGCUCGGAGAAUCCCAUCCUUUCUCCUGUACAAAUUUUCCACCCUAGCCCAAAGUGAGGUCUUUCCAGGCCCCUCCCCUGGAAGUUUUAAUUCAAACUGAGCGCAGGGCAGAGUGUCCCCCACGCGCCGGGUGGAGCUAACCACCUGGAGCUUAAUCUAGAGGACAGACUGCCCAGUCUCCUCCCUGCCCAAGGCCCGGGAGGGUUAGGUUAAAAUCGCACUCUGUAGGUAGCGGGUUCCGCCAACUCCGGCUUUUCUCGCUGUUUCCUGCUGGGAGGCGUGGACGGUGCUGGGCAGAGCUGCCAGCCUCCAGGCGGAAAGGAAGGAGAACAGAUGGCCCACUGGGGGUAGGAGAUCACGUGUCAGACCUCACUCUGGGCUGGAUCCAGACUUCUUUCAGGCCCCAGGCCCCUCAGCUUCAGCGACCCCCACCAAGGCACACAGGACAGGACUGGGGGAAGGUAGAGUUCAUUUUAGUAAAAGCCGGGGAAUUAGAGGGAGGUGGCGAGUUUGAGGACGGGAAGGCGGGGCUGAAGGGAGCCGGCUUCCCACAAUGGCGGUGUCCCUGGAUUUGAAAUCCAAUUAGGUAAAGCCUCCUCCGGUGAGAUGCCUGUGGCCUUAACGACAGUUAGCACCAGAAAGAGGGAGGGGGGUCUGCGUGCCGCGCGAAAACUUGCACGACGCCCUACUUUGCUCUCGCUCCACUUAGCAGCCUUCCGCAAAACUCCAGGCCUCUCCUUUGCGGAGCAGAAAGGCCACCCGUUCAUGCAUAUGCAGGAGGAUAAGUUUAGCACGCAGCCCCCAGCGCUCCGAGAAGGCCCGCGCGGCGCCGGGUGAAUCACCCGCGCUUGGGGGCGGGCGCUCAGCUCGGGCCGCAGACUGGCGGCCUGCGCAGCCACUGGCGCGCGGCGCCCCGGCCUGGCAUCGCCCUUUUAAAAAGUCUUCCGCAGGCGGCCGCCGCCGCAGCAGCCGGAGGAGGCGAGUUCAUCUGAGGACAGCCCCAGUUCUCAGAAAUCCCUUCCCUGCUGGAACAUCAAGCUCCCUUUACUGCAGUUGAACAAACUGCCCUAGAUUGGGGGAUGAGGAACCCGCCCCAAAAUCGUGCAAGGAGCUCCGGGCGCCCGCGCCCACGUGAGCUAACCUUGAAAUUAGCCCCCACACCCAGGUGGGGGGCGGAAAGGGCGGGAGGAGGCAGGGGCGUGUUGUUGGCCCUUCCCGGCCUUGGGUUUGCGCCCUCGGCGUGCACGUUCCGCCCCCUCCACCCUGUUUCGUAACUCUAGCGGGGUUGCAUUUUUCUUUUUUCUUUUUCUUUUAUUUUACUCCAGGGUAAGAUAGGGGUGUGUGUGUAUGUGUUUGGGGCCGGGGGGAAAGCACCUUCCUCAUCCCCCACACCCGCGAGGAAGAGGAAAACCUGCCCUGCGGUCCCCCUUCCCCCGGGAACACUGCGGAGUAGGGUGUCGGGAUGACAUCAGUUUCUAAACAUAACCAGCACCGCACCCCAACUCUGAGCGCCACGAGCAGGGCUGGUGGGGGGGGCCGGGGGGGAGGAGAGCGGAGGAGGCUGAGCUGCUGUCCGCGGGCGGGGCGGGCCGGCCGGGCUGUGCGGGAGGAGAUGACUUUGCAGGAAUCGUGCUCAGAGUUUGCAGGCACAUCUCUCCCGCGAUGGUCGGGCCACGGGGUUAGGAAACAUUCCUGUCAUUCCGCGCUCUCCCCUGCCCCACAAAAGUCACACACACACAGAGAGGCGCGCACGCACACACGCAUCCCUUGCAUCUAAGGUGCCUUUAUUUAUACAAAUCAACCCUUCCUCCAGCCGUAGCGCCCAGGUUGGGUCUGUCUGGGGAGCAUCCGCACCCUCCAGCCCCGCGCCGGCCUCCGGGCUAAGCCUGCGAGGGGGUCGGUGUGGCCCUCCCGGUGAGUCAGAUGGGCUGUGUUUCCUGUGGUUGUUGUGGAACAGUUUGUCCUUUUUACCACCACCACCCCCCCGCCCGGUCUCCACCCCCUUGGUAAAUAUAGCCCUCACGUUUCAUCAUCUCUUUGUCCAACGAGCGCCAGACACCCCGGCCCGCGGCCCCCGCCGCCUCCCUCCUCCCCAGCGCGCGCGGUUACCUCGGAUAACCCCGCGCGGGCGGGCGGGCAGGCGGCGGGCGGCAGCCGAACCCGCGGCCCUGCCAGCGCUGCACCCCAGCGUUUCCCGCCGCAGUCCACCCCCCCCCCACUCUCCACCCCCUGCUUCCGAUUCCCGCUUCAGCUAUACCCGCAAGUCCUAGUCCCACCCCCGCUACCCCGUGUCCUGGGGACCGGGUCAAGAUGUGCGUAGGUGCUGGGAGGUAGACACCCCUCCUUCCUAGCCCCAGGCGUCACCCACGCCCAGGCCAGCACUGGAUCUUCCACUUACCUAACCUCCCCUCUCCCAAGUCCCAAGGCCACCCCCUGUGCCCCUCCUGAGAGCGGGUGACAAGCUGCUGAGACAGUGUCUGAUUCACCGACAGCUGAACCAGCUAUGCGUACUCGGAGGUGGGCGCUUCGUGAACCGUACCCCUCCCCCCCCAGGGGAGUGGGCUAGAGGGUCGGGCAAGGCGAGGUGGGUGGAUAACAGCCGAGAAGUGCCUGCUGACUCUUCCCUCUCUCCCUUCCCCUCCCAGUUUCAUUUCCACACGUACAGCCACCCACCGGGGACCGGAGGCGGCUGGUGUUCUCUGAACGCAGGGAACUGGCUCUCUCUGUGGUCUCCUGUUUACUUCCCUCCUCCUCUUCCCUCUCCGUCCUUCUCUCCCCCACCACCCUACUGCCUCCCGCCCCAAGCAGCUGGGAAACCUGCAGCAAAACACUGCAGUCAUGAGACUUCCCUGGAAGAGAGCUGUGGCCCGGGUUUGCCCUGCCGGGGCCUUGCCCUGUGUCCACUUGGGGAGCUUCUUUGUCCUGGAAAGAAAGGCUCUUGGGGCUCCCCAUCCAGGAAUGUGGGAGAGGUGACAGUCUCCCCCCUCUCUCUUCCUCUCCCCUCUUGGCACCAGAUCUCAUCCUGUGGGGAACCUGCCUGGCUGCCUUUUUGGCCAGGGCUCUGAACCACCCCUAUGAGUGGCCACCUGUCCAGGGAGGGGUAGUGAGAGAGCUGACAGUGUGUAAGAACUCGGCAUCCAGGAUGCUGCAGAGCUGGCUUAUUGGCCAUCACAGGCUGUCCUGUUCAUGACAGGGCCCCCAAAGUUCCCUGCUGACCAAGGUUUUCAGGCAGAGCCCGGAAACCUGCUCCCGGGGACACACCCUCGCCUUAUGGAGUCUGGCAAAACCUUCCCUUUCAAAGCUUGCUUCCCAGCAGGGAAGAAUUCAGCCUCUCUCCCUAAGUAAGCUGAAUGAACAAAGAACCCGGCGGAGGCCCGGAGGGUUGAGCUCUGGGUGCCGCCCUGCCUGAAGUUCACUCCAUUUAAAAACCACCUCUUCACUACCAGCCUCUGCUCCACUGCCAUGGUUACCAGCUCCCUGUCCUUCGGCAGCACAAAUGUUGCCGAAACAAACAAGGGCAUUUAAAAUGUUCUUUUAAAUAUCCAAAACACUGCCAUGGUAUUUUGGUAGCCGAGAAGAGGGAAUGAACGUCCCGACUGUUCCCUGGUUUCCUUCUGACCCCUUGACCCUGAAUAAAUCCCUCACCCUGGGCAGCUUCUCAGCUGCCAAAGGAGGGAAGGAAGCUUAUUGAGAUACUAGAUAGUGGAAUUCAGAAUGGAACGGGUCCACCCACUGCUGGAGAAUUAUUACUCAGGUUUGCACUAUAAGAAAUGCUAAAGAAAACUCUUCAAGAUGAAAGAAAAUGAAACCUGAUGGAGACUCAGAUCUUUGGGAAGGAAUGAAGAGCAUCAUAUAUGGAGAGCAUCACCUUGUGGUCAGUGAGUUCAAACUCCCGGGCUCUGCUACCGAUGGAGACAGUCUGUUGUCGACCUUGAGCGACUUUCACAUUCUCUCUGGAUGCCUGUUUCCUUGCUUGUGAAUAAACCAGGAGCAGACCAGAGUGAAAGUGGGAGACCAAUUCAGAGGCAAUUUCAGUGGUCCAGGUGGGAGAGGAUGGAGACCUGGACAAGAUGAUGGCAGAUGGAGAUGGAGAGAAGAGCAAGCAACUGUUCAAGGUACCACUCAGGAAGAUGAGCAAAUCGAGGAAGUCCCUCUGGCCUAAAAAUUCUAUCAACUUGCCCAGGAAAUGAAGGCCUGAGAAUUGCACCAGGUGCUCGCUGGCCUCCUAGAUGCAUCUCAGACUCUGCAUGGGCCAGAAAUGAGUAAUGUAUAACCCCCAAGGGUGACAUAAGAUCUCCCACCCAAUUCUGUUCUUCUGGGUAUUUAGGGAAGAGCAAUAUCCAGGGCAAGGUGAUGGUACUUCGCUCCACGGGACAGAAAUUUAGCAUCAACUGGAGAGUUGAAUCUAGAGGGUGGUCUGGGAGGCUGGGUAGAAUUGGAUUGAUUAUUAGGAGAAAAUUCGAAUAAUAUCAUUUAAGUACACACACAUUCUGAAUUAAAUACACAUUUGUGGAUCCCUGUACUUCUUAAUAAAAGGACACUUAGUUCCAAGUUCUCGUUAAGAAGCUGAUAAGCAUCCAUUUUCUUCUAUUCCGACAAUGAUUAUUCCUCAACUCUAUAAAAUUUACAAACUGCUUCGGAAGCAUUGGUGGAGAAAGGUGCUGUAUGAAUAUAUGAGAUUAUUGAAAUAAAUGCUGAUUUAGAGAUUUCCCAGGUGGAGAGUUAAAAUAUACUGGGGCACAUGCACUCACUCUCACCCCACCCUCAGGGUACUUUCCGCUCUGAUCAGCGGAGAUAAAUUUUCCGACCUGACAGUUGACUGUAAAUCAAGAAGUGUGUUUUAAUAGUCACCACCUUUCUGCUUCUGUGUGCUGCUGUCUGAGGCAAUCCUUCACCUCCCGGGACACAAGACCUGAAGGAUUUUGGCACAUUCUCUCCCCUGCACGUGGAGAGGUGGUGCUUAGCAGCAAGGUAAAUAUUGGCAGGCUUGUAGGCGAGCAGUGAAUAUAAAUAAGUCAGGACAUCCUUAGAAAAGUUCAUCUCUGGAUCCACCGUUCUUUUUGCCAAUAGGUAAGAAAAUAGAAAAUCAUGAGUUUCUCAGGUUUUUGCCAAAUCACAACAAGAUAUUUUUGUAACAAUAUAAAAGCUAGAAAGUAUUUGAGAGUCAGUAAAUGCUGAAUAAAUAAUUCUGAAGGUGAACACAUGCCCUUAUUGCCACAAGCCCUGAUUACUGGGUUGGAUUACUACACUUGCUCCUCCUGACUUUAUCCCUCAUAAUCCUGUCCAUCAACGUUUGCUUGGAGUAACGCAAAUAAACCAGGCUGUUCCAUGCCCCAGUGUCUUUGCACCUGCUGCUGUUUAUGCCCGGACUGGAACCCUUUCCAUUAAUCCACGUGGGCCAGGGACAUUUUCUGAUCUUUCAACACUUGGUACCAGGAUCACCUUUAAUUUGCUUUAUGAAGCUUUUCUUGACAAACUCUCUCACUCCCAGACCUGCCACUUCAUCCUGUACAAAUGUGAUUGCACAUGUCUAUUUAACACAAACAUCACUGGCCUCUCUUGGCAAGUCUCUGCUCAUAUCCUGUACUCCCUCUGAGGCCAUAAUCAACACUUCAUUGCUACCCAGUUGCCCUUUGUGACUUCUCAAGCCUCUUCCCAAAGCAUUUUGAGUAAUGUAGCUUUUACUGAAAUGUUCACAAGGGAGAAAAGUGGAGGGCUUACACUGAACACCAUGUGGCCAAACUUCAUAAAAAUCUCCAUCAUUCCAAAAGCCUGUUCUCCUUUUGCCAGCUGCCUUCUCUCCUCUGUCUCUUCCAUUCUCUGCUCUCCUCUAACCUCCUUUCACCCUUGGAUCCCUCAACACGGCCACAAUCCCAGCUCACAAUCCAGCCCUUUCAGCCCUUUCUCCUUCAUUAACUUGUGUCCUUGAAGUUUUAGGUCCUAUUCAUCAAACAAAGUAUCUCUGUGAGAUCACUCCCCUUUAAAAGGCAAGGGUCACAAAAUCUCCACAUUUCUUCUCCUUCCACUAAAGACUGGAGCAACUUGAGGGUAGGAAUCAAGCCCUAUACACUUUUGCAUCUCUUCUGCAAAAUAUUUAAAAUAUUGUGAAAUGGAAGAAGAAAUAAAUGAAAAAAUAUAGCCACAGGUUAAAAUCCCCAAAGCCCCACUCUAAUCACAGUUUUCUUCUGUUUGAAGAUCUUCCUUACCUCGUGAACUCAUGCUUUGGUCAUCUGCCAUUUCUCCCUGACUCUAGCACUCUGCCCCGCCAUGAUGGGCCCUCUCCACUCCAGCCCACUGGGCGUGUUCUUGCCCUCAGGUGCUCAUUCGGGUUGUCUCUCCAGGCCUAGAAUAAUCUAUGUCAUUCAUGAGGAUGGUUGGCGGUGGUUUACCAUCACCCUAUUGGAGGCCAAGGUAGACGCAACUGUUCUGGUUUCGUAGGUCCGUCCUAACCCUUCCCAGUCUUCAAGGCUCAGUGCGGGUCUUUGCUUCCUCAGCAGACUUCAUGGAGGUCUGCAGUCCAGGCGUAAUGCUCUCUCUCAUGUCCUUAGGACAUAAGCCUUGAACACAUCCACUCUGAUGGCACUUAAUCAUUCAGCCUUAUAUCAUUGUUAAAUUUGGGGUAUGAGGCCUUGAGGUCAUCCUCUUUCCAAAAUGUGGUCAUCAUUAGGUCUGUUCACCAAAAUUUUAGGUGUUUUCCUCAUUUCUAGACUUGUGGUAAGUUUGUACUUGUCUAACCCCUUGAAGCUAUGUGUGGCUGUCUAAUUGACUCUGGCUAAUGACAUGUGAACAGAAUUGACAUAAGCCCCUUUGGGAAAUAAGCUUUCAGAGGAAGAGUGAUGGAUCAUGCUGUCUUUCCCUCUGACAUGGCGACUGGCAGUGUUUGAGGCAUCUGGUGGAUUGUCCAUCAGCCUGGGUCUGUGAAUGAGGACCCAGCGAUUCACAUGGGCAUUUGGUAUGAGCAAGAAGUAAACCUUUGUUAUGUUAUGCCAUUUAGAUUCAGAGAUUAUUUGAACAAUUAAUAACAUAAAUAAAUAAAUGUGUGUUGCUGCAGCACAACCAAUCCUAUCCAGACAGACUCUAAGUUCCCUGAAGGCAGCACUCAGGUAUAACUCACCUUUCUGUCCCCCAGAGAACAUAGCACAAUGCCUCACGGAUGUUCGAGAACUACUGCUGAUUGAUUAGACAUACUGUGAUAAGGUAAAAUAUAUGAGACUAGAGAGUAGUACUUGGUGUCAGGACUUCAACUUGAGACUUAGCCUCUAAAAAACCAAAAUAAAUGUACGUGAUGAUUUCAGUAGUAUUCCAAUAAGAUCGUUGCAUACAGGGAGGCAGAAGAGUGUAAUGCAAGGAACCUGGGCUCUCUAGCUUGAUAGACCUGGUUCAAGUGCAAGCUUUACCAGGUACUUGGCUGCAUGACCUUGGGCUGGUUAUUUAAGGUCUUUGAGGCUGGGAGAACAUCACUACUUACUAGGAAGGAUUAUUGUGGGGAUUAAACAAGAGAAUGUAUGUAAAGCCCUUGGCACAUAAUGAAUGGUCAACAAACGUCAUUCUCUUAGGCUCUCCUCCCACCAACUGCGUGUGGGUUGGUAUGAACUCUUGCUUAAUUCUCUGGGAACUACUUCCCUUCAUUUACACCCUCUGAGACCUUGGUUGCUCGCCUAGUCCCUGGAUUUCUUUAGCUUGGCCUACCUCAGAUCCUUAGGAUUUUGCUUUCCCUACCCCAUGCACACUCUGGCCUUCUGAGAAAUUCCAUAUGCAAAUGGUCACAGUUGACAGGAGCCCUUGGCAAAGGACUGCAAUGGGGGAAAAGGGUUCUUGAGACAGACUGUCUGCUGCCCCAAAUUUAAAAUAGGGCCCUUGGUAAGGUGUGUAUAGUCAGGGAGGUGAUCUCUAUGGGGAAGAAAGAAUUUAAGAUGUCAUGGUGACCAGUUCCAAGGAAGCCCCACCUUGGCCUGUGCCCUGGCUCUAAUGGCGGGGGGUUCUUCUCUUGAAUCCUGGGAUUGUAUCAGUGAUGGUCGCAGAGAGGUCUGUGAGAUUAUCUUCAAUGACUGACUCCUUCCACAGACUGGGUCUUGGUGUGGGGCCCGAGGGCUUAUGUUUUCUUGGACUCCUGGCCCAGUGAACUGUGUGUUUACAGGUUUACAAUUGUCCCUGACUGAGUCCUUGAGGCCACCUCCCCCCUUCCCCUCCCCAUGGAGCGCAACCGUGAUGUGGCAUAUCUAACCACCCCAAGGUGCUUGUGUAACUUGUUUUUCAAAGUCUUGGCAGGAGCUCCGGUCCUGAAGUGAGAAAGGGUGUUUACAUUCUGGAAGAGCAGUGCCGACAAAUGUCUUGCAUCAGGGCUGUUCUCCACCAAUCUCUGCUUCCCAGUUUUCUUCUCUGUGGGAUGGCUUGUGACAGCCACAGAGAUAGUCUGGGACCUGGAAGAAACGAGCCUGAACGUGAAAGCAGGUAGGCUGUGAGGCGGCCCUCAUGAAGCUUCAGGGCUAUGUAAACCGCCCUCCCUGGAAAGGUGAGGAGCUUCUUGAGGAUGAGGCGUUUGCUGCCCCACUGCCUGGUGCGGGGCCUCACACAGAGCGCAGCGCUGCCUGCAGGCGCUCAACAGACACGCGCUAAGUCAGUACACGGUGAAAAUACGUGGGAAGGCAACAUUUGAGAGGACACAUUGGGAACUGACACCCCAGUUAACAGCUUUCUUGGAACAGUACUUACAGUAAUAACAACAACGGUUAUUGGUUAUACCUCCUCUAUGCCAAGCAAAGGCGUAUAUUAUUUCCUUAAAUUCUACCAUAGUCAAUAGUUCUAGCAAGACGUAGUCCUCUCUCCAGUGAAUAGCGGAGGGCACGGAGACUCAUGGGCAGAGUCUGAGCAUCUCACCGGAGGUCACGGAGACAGUAAACCCGAAUUCCGAGCCCCUUGGGUGCACGGAAGCCAGUGCUUUUCCGCUUCCGGUUCCUCCACACCGCCCCUCACCCCUGCUGUCUCUGCCUCGUGAAACAACGGUAGGGCAGCUGUCCGUUCUUUUCGUCAUUUCUUCCUCUAGCAAAUAGGCGUGAAUUCAGCACGGAAAGAGCACUGGGGCGGCAGCCCCAUUCCAGAUGUCUGCUUUGUCAUCCUUAAGAACACCCGCCCGUGUUCAAGGCCUUCUAGUACCUCAGUCUCGCAACCCUCCCUGGAGAGCGCCCUCCCCUCCCCUCCUCCCUUCCUCCCUCCCUUCCUCGUGGCCACUCAAGGCUUCCUUCUUUUCUUCUUCUGCCUGGCAUCAAGGCCAGGUUUUCACUUCACUAGAAAAACCUUGCUACAGGUGUUAUUCUGUGGACAGUCCCUGGCACUCAAAUGUGCACUCAAUAAAUAUUUACUGAAUUGCACGCUAAAUUCUAGACAAAAGAAGAAAAGAGUGGAUCCAGAAGAAAAUUGAAAAGCUUCGGGAGUGGGGGAGUGAGUGCAAUAACCAACUCUCUUUCCUUCCCCCUGCCCGCCCCCCUCCCUUAGGAGGGAGGCAGCGGCACAGUCAGUGUUAAGGCUGUCAUUUGAUUACAGUAACAUCCAAACAGAUUGAAAAGCUCCCAUCAAUGCCGGAGCAGAAGUGCACACGCAGGGGGUUGUUUCCUUGGAAAUGUUUCAGCUGUGAUUACUUUCCAAAGAGAAAUAGCCAAAACACUUCCUUGACCCUCUGGGGAGAAGAAGUCACAAUUGGACAGAAAGUCAUUUCUGUGGCCUUUCGUUCGUGUGUGUGUGUGUGUGUGUGUGUGUGUGUGUGUGUGUGUGGCGCAUGCGCGUGCCGCUGCACCUUUGGCGUGUACUGUCCGUAGGGCGCCUUUGACAGCCGGUCUAUUCAAAGGCUGGGGCCGUGGGUUGGCGGCUCGGUGCCUGCCGCCGCGGUGGCUGAGAUCAUGCUGUUGAUUUUAUUUUACAGAGAGCAGCCCGGCCUGUUGUGCAGAGUACAGAAUGUUCUCUUCUGUGAACUGAGCUUGAACUUUUCCAACCCACUUUGUUUGGGGAACCAUACAGACACAGAGGGGAAAAGAUAGGGAAGAUAACCCCCAAAUGGUUGAAAUCAUUGUGUUCUCUCUGAUUUUGGCACAGAUCGUUUGCUUUUCACUGCUCCAAAUUAAAAAUCCCAAGCAUUACAGUUCUUGGAAAAAUGGAAUGCCUGUGAUGUCUUUUCUCUAACUCAGGGCUCUGGCUUUGACUUUGGAAAUUAACAAGUCGGUCACUGUCACUCCUCAAUUUCCUUUUUUUUUUUCUCCUAGGCAUUCAAGGGACAGGGACAACAAAAGCUGUUUCCCUAUAAGGAAAAGAAAAGGUUCCCAGUGCCUGUGACUUCUCUCCCAGUUGUUCAGGCUGUCACAACAUUACAAAUAGUGUUCCCCAAUUUGCCAUAUGGCCUGAGAUUUCAUAAUGAGGGCUUUGGGUCUUUGGCCUUCAUAUACAUCACCAACAUGAGAAGCUGCCAAUGCUUGGUAAAGUGGUUUGAAAUUUAUCUUUGAAAACCAUUGUCUAGUCUUAGGCUCGAGUCUCCAGUUUGGGGAUACACGGAUAAAUGUUUAGGGGGGGCUGCUUAGAGAAUCUGAGGCAAGACCCCUAUUGGAUAGGCAGCAGUUUUCCGACUUCUUGUUAUUUUUAAUAGCAGUGGAUUCCUUUCUUUAUACGAAAACGUACCAAAAACUCGCUAGUGAAGCAGGAAGAGCACAACUUUGUGGGAGCGGAGCUGGGAAUCUGAAGUGUGAGCGCUGGAUUUGAGUCUCCUAAGCAUGGGUAGCUGAUGACCACAGGAAGGAUCCGUGAGAAAGGCCAGAGAGUGGAAACUGAAACUGACUGACAACAGACUGGAAAGAGAGAGUCUGGAGCCGGGAUUAAGGGACUGUGGUUUCUGCAAGUCCGCUGUCCGUCUAGGGGUUGGCAUCUUCCAGGAGAGGCUAGAGCUUGUGAGUCUCAGCUCAGCCUGAGGACCCAUGGAGAAGAACGUAAUUCCAGCUCCAAAGGCCUCUCUUGCACAGAAGAAUUUUUAGCGUUGAGAGGAAGUCUAGGAGGGCAAGAUGGCAGCCGACAACUCCAGACACUUUCUACCCUGCUCAAGACCAAUGGGAAAGAGGGCAGCCUGAGUUGCUGAAUGAACACUGCAGCCUGCAUGGAGGCUGACCAGCCCGUCCCCUCACCCCUGUGACCUCAGGAAGGGAAACUGGCAGAGCUACGCUGAAGGGGAUUAGCCAAGGCCACAGAACCCAAAUCUUCUCCUGAUUGGUGAGUGGGGUGUUAGGAAUGUGUGAAGGAGGUGACUCUGCCUAGCUCAGCCAUCUUCCAGGGACACCUCCAUGGUCACAUUGGGAUUGAGGCUCAUAAAUUUUCUGCUUGGGGUUCUUUCGCGUAGACCCAAAAGUACAUUCUGUUGUGAUCAGGUUUAGGUAGAGGGGUGAGAAAAAGGGAGAGGAGGGAGGGAGCAAGAAAGGCAGAUUGGGGAGGAUAGAUGAGACAGAAACAGAGAGAAAAAAGGCAAGUCAAUGUGGGGGAGAAGGGGAGGGGGAGGGGAAUUAGAUUUAGAGACCCCCAAACCUUAAGUGAGAAGAACAGGAUUGCUCUCAUCUUCCGAAGGGAGGAAACCCUGCUGAGUGGCUCUCACUAUUCCAUCCUUUCUCUGCUCCCGCACCAGGACCUACCAUCUGCCUGAGAGUUAUCCUCAAGCUGCCUGCCUUCAUGGGUCAGAAGCAGCCCCAGCCCAGAGUGUGUUCCUCCCUAGCAGUCUCCUCUCUGCUGUGCUGGCUUUGUUUUUGUCUUUCUAGUUGAGUCUCUUUCAGUGGGAGGGGCUGACUCGUGCCUUGGAGGAAUUAUUCGGAGCGCUGGAGAAAUGCCCGGAAGGACAGAGCUAUGGCCACAUCCCCAGGGCAGCCUGACCUUUCUCAGGAUGGCCUAGAGCCACCCUGAGACCAGAAGUUUCCCUCAGCCAUGCAGGCACCUGGAAGUGGGCAUGCCCAGUGCCUGCUGCCCCAGACCCUGCAGGGGCUGCGUGUAUUCCUUUUCCUUUUAGGGCCCCCUGAAUCAGGCCAGGCUGGGAGCAUCCUGUUUCUAGGCACUCUGACUUUUACAAAUCCCUUGCCCCACUAAAAGUGAAGGCAGAGGCUGCAGGCACCAGAUAUUGUCAUGAAAGUCCGUGACCCUCAGGCUGUGGUAGGGCCUGCCACUUGGCUGGCAUUCAGGUAAGGGUGGCCCGCUGUCCUUUUCGCUUCUCUCUGUAUUAUCUCUGCCCUCAUUCCCAUUCAGGAAGACUUCUCUCCGGGGCUACUGAAGCAGCUCUCCAAGAAGCUCCUUGCCUCAAAUGUCCCCUCCAGUGCAUUCUAUGUGUGGCUGCUGGAUCCAUUUUGCUCAAGGCCAUCUCUUAUCUUGUCAUUUCUCCACUCAAAAACCAUCAGUGGCUCCCAUUGCCCAGGGAAUAAAUAGUUAAUUUCUGCAGAGUUUCUGUGCUUACUCCAGGGAGUAGAACCCCAUAAGCUCUGCCACCCUUCCCUGGGGGCAGACCUGAGAGCUGGGGAGAAGAGAGGGACAGUAUGCUGGGGACCCUAUGACCUGCCCAUGUCCCAUUCCCGGCUCCGGGGGGGGGGUGGGGUGCCGCUUGGAGUGUUGGUCCUGGGAUGAUCCUACUUUUUAGCCAAGUAUCCUUUAUUCUUGGGGUUCCCACUUUUCACAGGCUUUCCAUUAAGCCCUCUAACAGUAUUUACUUCUAUGAUCUAGAAAAGGGAGGUUCUAGAUGACUCUCCAAGUUUGCAGAUAACAAUAAGCUGGUGAUGCUGGUUCUAGGCACGUAUGCUAUCACAUCUCUCCUCCCUCACCCAUGGCAGGUGUGACUAAUCCACUUUUGCUCAACAAGCCCAGCUGAGGCCUCAAAAAACCCUUUCAACACUGCUCCAGGCGGCCACCACCAUUCAAUUGAAUUUGGCAAGUGAGUUGAAGUCUGUUAUUCCUACACCCAGCUCUUCCAGGGAGUGAAGCUGUAAACCCUGGCAAGAUUGGCUACAAGAAGCCGUGGACGGGCCACUGAAGUGGAUCCACAAGUGGCAGGGGGCUCAUGAUUGUGGGAUAAUUCUAUUUUGAGAUUUAACAAAGUGUUUGUCCUCAUUUUCUUGUACCCCUAGCCCUUCCCUGAAUUCAGGCUAAAGAUACUCUGCUUUUAUUCUCUCGGUGAAUGAAUGACUUGGCAAAAAUGCAGAGAGAAAACUGAGACUCUAAACAGACUGUUGAAACUCCGGUAGAGAUGGAAAUUCGAGGCAAAAAGAAAAGCUUUUGAGGUUCAAAAGCUUAAGUUUUGGAGUUUCAAAAGCACGGCUCCUAAGGGAACUCAGGGCAUAGAGGAUGUAUGAUGAGUAGGAAAAAGAAUGAAAACAGGCAAAGUUGGGGCGUAGCUAUCCUAGAGAGGAAGUCGGAGCGGGGAGGGGAAACUCUGGGGAGAAGUGGGCCUUUGGGAAGGAUUCCUGAGCCCUGCAUGUCCCUGCGCCAAGGCUGGGUGAGGAACGAUGGUGCCCCAGGUCAGAUUGGGAAACUGAGACCAGAAGGGAUGUGUGCCUCUCUUUCCUGGGGUAAGCCCAAGAAAGUGCCCAGCAUGGUGUGGAAUAUGAAGGCGCUCAGACAAACUCUCUGAGUUUCUUGAAACCCAGGGUAGUGUGAGAACGGCAGACAGGAUCCCGUGCUUCUGCGAGUGGCAUGGAUGAGGCAUAGGAAGACGGUGGACAUGAGGAGGGACCAGAACAACAUGGCAGAGGACAGUGAGGGUGGGGACCCCUCCGGGAUACCAGCAUGGUAGAUGAUGACACGGGGGACCCCGUGACCCUUUCCCCUGACGUCUUGGGAGCCUUGAGGAUAAGAAUCUACAGGGAUUCUGAAUUUACCAAGAUUUAAUUUUGCAAUUGAGCAAAAUGGGAGCUGAAAAGGGAACUUAAGUUUAAUCACAGAAAAGGAGAGAAAGUUGUAUUUUGGGCACAUUGUAGCUGACAUUUGUAUGCAUUAUGUGUAGAAAAACUUUCCCCAAACCAUAAUUAUGAGGUGACAUUUUCUGCCUCUUGAUUGUGGCCUGGGAUGUGUAUUGGUGGCCUCUUUUAGGGGGCAUCCAGCUCACAGCAAGGGUCCCUGGUGUCUGGCAUUUUGGAUGUGGAUCUGGCCACUGCACUUCAAGAAGGACUUACUGUUUCGGAGAAGAUUCAGGGAUGGGCAGUCCUGAGAGGAGCAGGGAAGUUGGUGGGGACGGUGCUGACACGCAGUACAGCUGUGUGAUUAUGACGGUGGCCUAGAAUGCACAUCCCUGAUAGGAGAUUUAAUCAGAGUGGCAAAGCUGAGGGCUGGGCCCCAUGGAUUGUUCGUGAAGUCCUGGAAAACUGUAGAUAUACAAAUUAGGUCAACUAAUAGGAUUGGAGAGAGAAAAAGAUAUUAUGGCUCACAGAAGAUAAUAUAUCUCUGGGCCUGUUAACCCUGUAACAAUAUGCAGGUUGGAAAUACAAAUAUUUUAAGAAGGGGUUAGUUUAGGGUUUCUUAACCUUGGCAUUAUUGGCAUUUUGAGUCAGGCACUUCCUUGUUGUGGAGUAGGAGGCUGUCCUGUGGAUUGCAGGAUGUUGAGCCCCAUCCCUGGCCUCUACCCACUAAAUGACAGAAGCAUCCAGACUCCUGCCCGACCCUGGCUGUGACAACCAGUAAUGUGUUCAGAUAUUACCAUGUGUCCCCUGGGGGGCAAAAUCACCCCCAACUGAGAACAUUGCAUUAGUUUAAUGUUCCCAAAGGGUGGAUCAUGGAAUAGAGCUCAUGCCAAAAAAGUGGAGUCUGUAGUAAGUGAGCAUAGAAAUACUGAGUUAAAACAAACUAAACAGAGCAUUUUAUUUGCAGGACUUCUCAGGCCUGCACUAAGCCCGUGGACAUGUUAAGUCUCCAGGAGGGAACGUGUGAGAUGAGCAUGCGCUGAAUACACUCUGGGCAUUCCUGUGUUAGAUAUGUUCACAGACAGUAAAACGUGAGGGUACAUAAUAACAAACAUGAUAUUAGUUCUCUACAGAUGAAGUGUCUGCCAAAUAGGUUGUGUUUUUUCCUUAUCCCUGUUCUCCAAAGUAGAUAUCAUUAUUCCUUCUCAUAGGAGAGAGAACCAGGACUCAGAGAAUUAAAAUAUUUGUCCAUGGCCACACAGCCAACAGAUGGGGAGACAAAGCAGGUUUAGAUUCUCAGUUCCACGUUCUUAACAGGGCUACAUGCUGCCUCAUGAGCACAGCCCUAAGCUUCUGGAAUUGAUGUCGUGUCAGAGUCACGGUACAUCCUCACUCUCAGGAACGCUGACUCUCAUAUUUAGAGUUCUCUUGAGAGUCUUUGUCUGCUGGGUCCACAUUUACAGGGGCAAAUGGAAGACUUGAUGGAAACACAUUGGCAAUCUUCAGCACGAUGAAGUUUCUUUUGAUUACAAUUCUUAAGUAAAACUAUUUUUCCUUCCUGAAAAUGAAAAUUAUAUAACUGUGUUGUUUUGUUUUUUCCUUGGUUGCCAGGAAGCUCAGAUCCAAAAUUUCCAUCUUGUCUGACAGUUUUGUGCCCUUUCCCUUUGCUUCUAUUUUUAAUUAUUGUAUGUACUUUUAUACGAUUUGUAUGCUGCUGCAAACGCUUGGGAGAUAAGAGGGAAUAUGUAAAUGCAUAUAAUUAAUAAAUGGAAACUUUCCAAAAUAUUCUCCCCUUAAAAAAAA